CCCCCAGGGAGUGCCCAGGCACUGCAGCCCUCUCUGAGCAUCCCAGGUGAACCAGAGGAUGGAAUGUGGACCCUGGGGAGGAGCAGGGAGGAGUCUGGAGCUGUCACAGGGGCUGAGGAGUGAUGCUCUGCCUGGUCCAGGGAGCUGCCUCUCUCUUGGUCCUUCUAAAGGCUGAAAUUUUACAUGGCCUUUCAGAUUUUCAGCCUGAGCUACAGCCAUGGAACAAUCAGGAGACAGGAGCACAAGGAUGGGCACAAAGAUGAUGUCCUGGGCUGGUGACAGCUGCAGCUCAGAGCCAGCAUGACUCCACCAGGACACCAAUAUGACUU